UACAGAGGGUGCAAGCGUUGCUCGGAAUCAUUGGGCGUAAAGGGCAUGUAGGUGGUCUGAUUUGUCUGGCGGUGAAAUCCUUGAGCUUAACUCAAGAAGUGCCCCGGAAACGGUCAGACUUACGAGUCUUGGAGAGGGUUGCGGAAUUCCCGGUGUAGCGGUGAAAUGCGUAGAGAUCGGGAGGAACACCAGAGGCGAAGGCGGCAACCUGGACCGGCAUUGACGCUGAGGAGCGAAAGCUAGGGGAGCAAACGGG
rnacentral:rRNA from 1 species